GCGAACAAGCGCUGAAGACCGUUGCCGAUGAACUUUCUUUGGGUCCAGUUUGGGUUUUAAUGUUGUGAUCCGUGACCCGAAUUAAGCGACUAAUGGCGUAACCUUCAAGGAAUGAGGUGUGGACACACAGAAGAGCACCGAUGGGUGAAAAUGAGUGUAUCAUUCAAUGUACAUGGCAUCACCCGAGAAGAAACAGCAAAGAUAUCGAAUAUCCAAAUUUGUCUUACUCUACAUUUGACAGAAUCAUCUGGAUUGCCAAGUAUCUGCAACAAAGCAUCAUUAGGUUAUUAAGAGAAAGUUAUAGUUGACUAAAAUGUUAUAUGCAUUCACAGUAAGCUGGAAGUCCACAAGCAGUUCUUGCAUUCUUUAAUGUAAGAGAGCACUUCAUAAACAAGUAUGGUAUGUUUCUCUGAUUAUGAGCAUUAUGGUAAAAAAUAGACAGCAGACAGAAAAACUUUUUGGGGAUGGCCACCCCGUACACUGAAAAAUAGGCAAAAACAAAGAAAAUACAUCUUUACACGUAGAGUUCAUAAAGGAACUGACCAACAGGACAAGUCUGGGCUAUAAAUAUCGAGGAUUAGAGGAAGAGGUGGAGUCUGGGAGGCCGGAACAGGAACUGAUGUGGCAGGUGGAUUGGUUCUGGGUAACGGAAGCCAGAAAUGAGGUCAUCAGUGGGUGGAGCUAUGGUGAUGUCACUGAGAGGCUCAGUCUUCGGCUGGUCUGCAGAGGGACAAGAGGAGAAAGGAUCACACGUCAGCACCAACCCCUGGUCUGCCAUGUACGCGUGUGUGACAACAUGUACAAAUUAUAGGAGCAUUUUAGAUAUUUUCAGAAAUGUCUGACAAAACAACCGAGAGAAUGAUAGGAUAAAUGUUUUUCACAUUGAGCAAAAGCUCUACAAAUUCCAGCAAAGUCUGGCUGCAGAUAUCAACUCUGAGGCUACAAGCACUGAGAAACUGAACAUACAAUGAGAGGCUGAGCCUGGACUUGACGUACGACCAGAUUUAGAUGAAAAUACAGGAUAGCUGGUGACGUGUUAUGCAGAAUCAGAAGUAUUAAGUAAAUAAAUGAUGGCACUUCUUUGUAUCUUAGAUAUAUCAGGUACUCUGAUUUUAUUCAGGUCUUGUCCGUGUUCAUUCUGGAGGGAUCUCCCAUGAAUGUGGCGUCUUUUCAUUCACUGUUUUGUUUUAUUCUACAGUAUAUAUUUUUCAUGUCAGAGUGUUUCAUUUGCACAGGUUGGUGAGUAGAGCAGUUGUUAUUUUGAAUGUUUUUUAAACAUUUCAUGGUAUGUAGCAGACCCUCGAGGACUUAACUUUCAUGGUGUUCUGAUUUUCUAUAAAUAGGUUUCUGUGAAUACUUGUUCUUUGUUACUGAUUGUCUUUGUACCAGUUGCAAAAAGUUUUGUUUUUAUUGUCCGAAAACUUUGUUAUUGUUUUUUACAAAAAAUAUUUAUCAGUGCACAAUUAGCUUGAGCAUUCUGACAUUUACAGUGUUGACUUGGAUUCUCUGUGUCACUACUACAUGAAUUCAACAACUGAGUUACUGUAUGUCUGCACACUCCAGGCUCCAAUGAUGCCCGAGUCAUUUACUGUUUCUCAAAAUGGCAAGAAGCUCCCUUCGAUGCAGUAAUCCUCAGGCUGUGAUUAUAGUAUGGGUAGACUGGAUAUGUCAACAUUUUUCCACCAUAUCCUUAGAAGGGUUAUUUUCACUGUCUUUUUAAAAGAGAUGUGUGUUUCUACUGGUAGACCUGAAGCUGUCCAGUUGGCCUCCCAUGAGUUGUUUAGUGUUGUAUUUCUGGGGACAGCAACAGUCAAAAAAGAAUUAAAUAACAGAAAGGAUGUCAGUACAGCCUGGGGGAUUAGGUGAGGAAAGCAGAACUUUAUUUCAAUUCUUUGAUUUUUCUUUUUUUUUUUAUUUGAUAUGCCUUAAUUAUCCCCAAGGGGAAAUUGCAUAGUGCCCUGGGGGAAUUUUUAGAUUAAGGCGCCCAAUGGAGUAGGAUCCUUUCUGACAGUAGCAGGAUUUGAACCUGCAACCUCCCAGAUACCAGCGCAGCUCCUUCACCCCAGAGCCACCAUUCAAAUAUUUUUUAAUUCAUUUAAAUGUAUUAACUUUGCUUUUGUAAUUCUUGAUGCUUUAAACUUGAAUACAUGUUUCUUUAUACACA